rnacentral:rRNA from 1 species
GACGAACGCUGGCGGCGUGCUUAACACAUGCAAGUCGUACGGUAAGGCCCUUUCGGGGGUACACGAGUGGCGAACGGGUGAGUAACACGUGAGUAACCUGCCCACAACUUUGGGAUAACGCUAGGAAACUGGUGCUAAUACUGGAUAUGUGCUCCUGCUGCAUGGUGGGGGUUGGAAAGCUCCGGCGGUUGUGGAUGGACUCGCGGCCUAUCAGCUUGUUGGUGGGGUAGUGGCCUACUAAGGCGGCGACGGGUAGCCGGCCUGAGAGGGUGACCGGCCACAUUGGGACUGAGAUACGGCCCAGACUCCUACGGGAGGCAGCAGUGGGGAAUAUUGCACAAUGGGCGCAAGCCUGAUGCAGCAACGCCGCGUGCGGGAUGACGGCCUUCGGGUUGGAAACCGCUUUCAGCAGGGACGAAGCUUUUUGUGACGGUACCUGCAGAAGAAGCACCGGCUAACUACGUG